rnacentral:rRNA from 1 species
AUUUAGAGGAAGUAAAAGUCGUAACAAGGUUUCCGUAGGUGAACCUGCGGAAGGAUCAUUACAAAAACCCACGCCCGGCGGAGUUCCGGGCAGGGCGCCGCGGUCCUAGCGGCGCCCGAACACUCUCACCCUCUGCGUACACAUCCCUGUUGCUUCCCCGGGGAGGGGGUGAAAACCGCCCCGGGGGAGGGCCCCCAACGAGCACACGAUGCCGACCAACCCACCAGCCAUCCCACCUGUCUGAAGGCCGACGUGCCGACUAAGGAGGAGAGAGCGAGGAUGUGAAGAAAAUUAGGAAAAAAACUUUCAACAACGGAUCUCUUGGUUCCCGCAUCGAUGAAGAACGCAGCGAAAUGCGAUAAGUAAUGUGAAUUGCAGAAUUCAGUGAAUCAUCGAAUCUUUGAACGCACAUUGCGCCCCCUGGCAUUCCGGGGGGCAUGCCUGUUCGAGCGUCUCCAGGAAGAAGACUCACGCGGGGGAACGCGUGGUUGUGGCGGCGGCGGCAGACCCGAGUGGGUGGUCGCCCCACCGGAAUCAAUGGGCGGACGCCUGCCACGAUGUCGAGCGUGAUGUGACGCAUAGGCGCUCGUGCGUGGCGAGGCCUCCAGCCCCAGGCCCAAGCGCUCUGGGCGGGGAGAGCAAG